AUUCCAUGUUGAGGACACUUCCUGAGUAAUCCUUUAAAUCGGUCCCAAGCUUCGUACAGAGAUUCGUUUUCUUUUUGUUCAAAAGCGAUGAUUUCUGAUUUGAGCCU